rnacentral:rRNA from 1 species
AUUGAACGCUGGCGGCAGGCCUAACACAUGCAAGUCGAGCGAGCGGCGGACGGGUGAGUAAUGUAUGGGAAUCUGCCUGAUGGCGGGGGAUAACUACUGGAAACGGUAGCUAAUACCGCAUACCAUCAGAUGACCCCAUAUGGGAUUAGCUAGUAGGUGAGGUAACGGCUCACCUAGGCGACGAUCCCUAGCUGGUCUGAGAGGAGGAUCGGCCACACGGGGACUGAUACACGGCCCAGAGUCCUACGGGAGGCAGCAGUGGGGAAUAUUGCAAAAUGGGCGCAAGCCUGAUGCAGCCAUGCCGCGUGUAUGAAGAAGGCCUUCGGGUUGUAAAGUACUUUCAGCCGGGAGGCGUUACCGACAGAAGAAGCACCGGCUAACUCCGUGCCAGCAGCCGCGGUAAUAC